AGGUUUGUUUUUCUCCGGUACAGCCUGGUAGGGAGGGCUCCCGGCAUCUCCCUGCUUCGGGGCAGAGGAUGCCGGGGGUAGAGUACGGGAGGGCUGGAGCGAGGGUGGACUGGAGGUGCCGCUUGUCCUGGAGGUGGGAGAGAGGGAGCGGCUUUGCCGCCUGGCCUGCGUCCUAAUCCUGUCCUGGUUCUUCUGCUCCCGAAGGGAACGUAGGUCCCGCGCCUGUGAUAAGUAAGGUUGGAUUUUCUCUUCCCUGAGGUGAAGGAUGCCCGGAGGCCUCGGCAGGACCGUGCGGAAACGGGCCUUCUGCCCAAAAGAUGCUGCUUCUCUCCUUAUUCUUUCCCCUCAGAAUCUCGCUGUCUCCUUCCAACCACCUGUGGUCGGCAUCCCCGCGUUGUCACUGCGACGCAGAGGCGAGCGAGGUCGCAGCUUCAUGGCCUGAUGCCUUCAGGAAGUAUUUUGAAGUCAUCGUGGCUGUGGAUUGGGGGAUUUCUUGUUUCCACUGACCUGUGAGGCCGCGCACGUGGAGGGAGGCACCCCGGGUCCUCCGGCACUGUCCGGCCUCGCCUGUGUCCCUAGUAGCAGUGGGCAUUUCCAGACGGUGCAGCUUGUGGCUAAAGUGACAGGAAGAUGUAGGAGCUUUCAGUCUUGGAUGAGGAUUCGAACUGAAGGGCUUAGGCCCAGCUGUCUUGGAGCAAAACAUCUGUUGUGGGAUGUGGCGGCAGAGGAGGGCAAGGCCGAAGGAGCAGACAGCACCGCUUCUUGGGGAGUUGUGAAGGCAUCAUGCGGAGGGCCGAGCUUAGCAGCCAAGUGGAGGACAGCACCCUCCAUGCCUGGAUUCGUUACUCGCUCGUUCUCGAUGUUGAGCUGCUGGCAUAUUGCAGCACAACUAGAGAUGUACGGAUGCCCCCAUCUUGAUCUUACAGAAUCAGAGGUGCAGCCGCAAGAAAGGUCUCUACACCCUCUCGGUUUUCUCUGCUCUGCCAACACUAGUGGAAUAUGAUCACAUCCCAGGGAUCAGUGUCAUUUAGGGAUGUGACUAUGGGCUUCACUCAAGAGGAGUGGCAUCAUCUGGACCCUGCUCAGAGGACCCUGUAGAGGAAUGUGAUGCUGGAGAACUACAGCCACCUUGUCUCAGUAGGGUAUUGCAUUCCUAAACCAGAAGUGAUCCUCAAAUUGGAGACAGGCAAGGAGCCAUGGAUAUUAGAGGAAAAAUUUCGAAGCCAGAGUCAUCUGGGUGAGUUAGUGCCAGAUGGAAUUUAAAGAAUUAAUUAAUACCAGUAGAAACUAUUCAAGAAUGAAGUUCAAUGAGUUUAACAAAGGUGGAAAAUGUUUCUGUGAUGAAAGCAUGAAAUAAUUCAUUUUGAAGAGGAACCUUCUGAAUAUAAUAACAAUGGGAACAGCUUCUGGCUGAAUGAAGACCUCAUUUGGCAUCAGAAGAUUAAAAAUUGGGAGCAACCUUUUGAAUACAAUGAAUGUGGGAAAGCUUUCCCUGAGAAUUCACUCUUCCUUGUACAUAAGAGAGCUUACACAGGACAGAAAACAUGCAAAUAUACUGAACAUGGGAAAA
ensembl:lncRNA ZNF37BP zinc finger protein 37B, pseudogene